rnacentral:tRNA from 1 species
CACGCCCGACCCUCUAGGAACUAGUCUAAAACAAGACCUCUA